AGCAGCCGCGGUAAUUCCAGCUCCAAUAGCGUAUAUUAAAGUUGUUGCAGUUAAAAAGCUCAUAGUUGAAUUUCGGGAUUAAUAUGCUGGUCGUGCCAUUGGUACGUACUAGUAUUAUUGAUUUCUCCCUUCUGAUGAAUCAUGAUGUCAUUAAUCUGAUGUCAUGGGGAAUCAGGACUGUUACUUUGAAAAAUUAGAGUGUUUAAAGCAGGCUCGCGCUUGAAUACAUUAGCAUGGAAUAAUGAAAUAGGACGUUUGAUUCUAUUUUGUUGGUUUCUAGGAUUGACGUAAUGAUUAAUAGGGAUAGUUGGGGGCAUUAGUAUUCUAUUGUCAGAGGUGAAAUUCUUGGAUUUAUUGAAGACUAACUACUGCGAAAGCAUUUGCCAAGGAUGUUUUCAUUAAUCAAGAACGAAAGUUAGGGGAUCGAAGACGAUCAGAUACCGUCGUAGU
rnacentral:rRNA from 1 species